GACGAACGCUGGCGGCGUGCUUAACACAUGCAAGUCGAACGGAAAGGCCCUGCUUUUGUGGGGUGCUCGAGUGGCGAACGGGUGAGUAACACGUGAGUAACCUGCCCUUGACUUUGGGAUAACUUCAGGAAACUGGGGCUAAUACCGGAUAGGAGCUCCUGCUGCAUGGUGGGGGUUGGAAAGUUUCGGCGGUUGGGGAUGGACGCGCGGCUUAUCAGCUUGUUGGUGGGGUAGUGGCUUACCAAGGCUUUGACGGGUAGCCGGCCCGAGAGGGUGACCGGCCACAUUGGGACUGAGAUACGGCCCAGACUCCUACGGGAGGCAGAAGUGGGGAAUAUUGCACAAUGGGCGGAAGCCUGAUGCAGCAACGCCGCGUGCGGGAUGACGGCCUUCUGGUUGUAAACCGCUUUCGCCUGUGACGAAGCGUGAGUGACGGUAAUGGGUAAAGAAGCACCGGCUAACUACGUG
rnacentral:rRNA from 1 species